AGUGAACGCUGGCGGUAGGCCUAACACAUGCAAGUCGAACGGCAGCACAGUAAGAGCUUGCUCUUACGGGUGGCGAGUGGCGGACGGGUGAGGAAUACAUCGGAAUCUACUUUUUCGUGGGGGAUAACGUAGGGAAACUUACGCUAAUACCGCAUACGACCUACGGGUGAAAGCAGGGGAUCUUCGGACCUUGCGCGAUUGAAUGAGCCGAUGUCGGAUUAGCUAGUUGGCGGGGUAAAGGCCCACCAAGGCGGCGAUCCGUAGCUGGUCUGAGAGGAGGGACAGCCACACUGGAACUGAGCCACGGUCCAGACUCCUACGGGAGGCAGAAGUGGGGAAUAUUGGACAAUGGGCGCAAGCCUGAUCCAGCCAUACCGCGUGGGUGAAGAAGGCCUUCGGGUUGUAAAGCCCUUUUGUUGGGAAAGAAAAGCAGCAGGUUAAUACCCCGCUGUUCUGACGGUACCCAAAGAAUAAGCACCGGCUAACUUCGUG
rnacentral:rRNA from 1 species